GGUUGUUUACAUGGUAUAAAAUAGGCCUCGGUGUCAAAUAGUGGACAGUUAACUUGUGGGCAGGCAUUUGAGAACGAUCGUGAGUUUACAGUGAGGAACAACUUCUUUAUUCUUCUAGACGAUACUGUAUCAGCUAUUGAGCUGCCAUAACCCAGCCAGAAUGUAUGGAAGAAACAGAAACAACAACCUCCGACGAAUGUACGGGUUUUUCCGUUGUUCAAAGUGCAACAAAGUUUGGGAAAGUUCCCAUGUGUAUUGUCACAAAAGAACGGAGCAGGCGGAGUACGGGCAGGAGUGCAAGGAUUGUGCAGUGAUGUGUAUGCCGUACCGUGUUGAGAGACUGACCUGCUCAUUAUGUGGACAAAAAGACUGUAACUGUAUCAGGGAUCGUCACGUGGACCCCAACAAAGCUCACAGAUCGGAUCUUUGUGCCAAGUGUCGCGCUGGCUUCCCGUGUCAAUAGUAGACAGGACAUCAACAUUUUAGCUCAAAUAUUGAGCUAGACAUCAACAUUUUAGCUCAAAUAUUGAGCUGGACAUCAACACUUUAGCUCAAAUCUUUUGCUUGACAUCAACAUUUUAGCUCAAAUAUUGAGCUGGACAUCAACAUUUUAGCUCAAAUAUUGAUCAGGACAUCAACAUUUUAGCUCAAAUAUUGAUCAGGACAUCAACAUUUUAGCUCAAAUAUUGAUCAGGACAUCAACAUUUUAGCUCAAAUAUUGAGCUGGACAUCAACAUUUUAGCUCAAAUAUUGAGCAGGACAUCAACAUUUUAGCUCCAUCAUUCAGUGGGAUAUCAAAAUUUUAGCUCAGGCAUUUAAAUGACAUCAAAAUAUUUCUGCUCCAUCAAAAAGCAGAACAUCAAAAUUGUGUAACUCAAACUUUCAUCAGAUAUCAAUAUAUUUUUGCUCUGAAUUUCAGUAGGACAAGUUUGAUUAGCUCCCACUAGUUGCAUAACCUUAUAUUUUAGCUCCUGCUUUAAGCCAUUCAAAUCGUUUAUUGCCAAUUUUGAACAGGAAGUCCAGAGUCCUAGCUCCAUCAUCUGUGAUAUUUUUCUUUUGGUCAUUUCUAUAUGGGCCAAAUCAGCUUGGGUCUUUUAGUAUAAUUAGUCUUUUCUAAACCGUGUCUUUUUAAUCACGUUUUUCAAUGUUAUACGAGAGCAAACGUGCAAGUUAUUGCUAAAUGUGUUGUGAUGUUGUGGGAAUGUUUGAAAAAAUAUUUUAUGGUGUUGUGAGAUUGUUUGCUAGAUAAUUUAUGGUAUUGUGAGAUUGUUUGAAUAAUAUGUUAUGGUAUUGUGAGAUUAUUUGAAAAAUUUUUUGUGGUAUUGUGAGAAUAUUUGAAAAAUAUUUUAUGGUUUUGUGAGAUUUUUUGUAAAAUAUUUUAUGGUGUUUUGAUAUUGUUUGAAAGAUAUUUUAUGGUGUUUUGAUAUUGUUUGCUAAAUAAUUUAUGGUAUUGUGAGAUUGUUUGAAAAGUAUUUUAUGGUUUUGUGAGAUUGUUUGAAAAUAUUUUAUGGUGUUUUGAUAUUGUUUGCUAAAUAAUUUAUGGUAUUGCGAGAAAGUUUGAAAAAUAUUUUAUGGUAUUGUGAGAAUGUUGGAAAAACAUUACAUUUAUCAUCGCAAUACAUUUU